AGCCGGCUCGGCCGCUCGCCCGCCCAGCGCGCGGAUCCGCCCCCGAGCGCACCACGUGGGCCGCGGGGGACGAGCGUCUGAAGCCACCUGGGCUGGGGUUCGGCCGGCUCCUCUUGCUUGGUCACAUUCCUAUCUUUGUGGGGUUUUGGACCAAGACCUACGUAAACGGAGGUCCGGUGUUGACCUACGGCCCGUGAUGCAAUUCACAGCAGAGAGGAAGAAAGAACAUGCCAGAUAACACACUGUCUCUUAAAGUUUUCACCUAGAAGUGAUUUUAAAACAUAUGUCAUUGGCCAAAGCACAAUCACAAGGCCACACCUAAUUUGAAGGCGAUCAAGACAGUACCUGGAAGAUGGUAUCAGAAAUAUUGGUUGAAAAACACCGAUGACUACCAUACAUGUGAUAAGUCCUAUAACCACCUCCACCCCCAAACACCCUGAGGAAUGAUGACUUCUCUGAGAUGGGGUCCUAUGUAUGGCUUCUUCAGAGUCUUCCCAGUUGUCCAGUAAGAAGAUCAAGAUGAACACUCUGAAACCCUGACUUAUCUGCCUCACUCUAUGUAGUUGUAGCCAGGGACCACUAAAAUAGCAAAGCUGAAUGUGAGGCUAUCCAUGUUCAUGAAUCCCUUUAUUCAUAGGCUGAGUAUUGUCAAACGUAAACAUUCAGGAAAGAAUAAAGACUCAGUAAGAACACUGUGGAAUUGCUGGGUGGUGUAAAUGGUUAAUGUGCUCUGCUGCUAACUGAAAAGUUAGAGGUUUGAGACUACUUGGAAGUGCCUUGGAAGAAAUGCCUAGCAAUCUACCUCCAAAAAAAUUAGCCAUUGAAAACCCUUCGGAGCACAGUUGUACUCUGACAUGUAUGGGGUUGUCAUAAGUUGGAAUCAACUUGAUAUUAACAGCAAUUGGUGCUGUCUGAAAGCAGUGAAUUGAAGAUGUGCUCAUCACUGGAGGGGAUGCCGCAGAAGCUCUCAGUGAUGCUAAAGGGGAUGAACUAUGACCAAGCGGAAACAUUACUCCUUUACACAAAGGAGCAUGGUUGACUUCAAAGGCUAUCUCCAGACUAGCCGGGAGAGUACGUAAGUUUCAAUCAGCCAACUCUUUGGUCAAAGAGCAGUUCCCAUCCCAACAACACUUGGCUGUUUUGCCUGAAAUGGAGUGGAUGGGUAGUGACAUUUUUGACAUUUUCCCUGUCUUUCCCCACUGAUGUUCUAGGGGUCAGCACUGCUCAUGAUGGUUCCUGCUCACAACUGGGCUGGGUCAAGGAUAAAUGAAUGGAGCAUACGUUAUCUGUGCCUUCUUACCCAUUUAUAAAUCAACCCAAAUUAAAAUAAAAAACUCGAUAAAGGUGUGAUGAAACCAAUACCCUAAUCCAAUGCUAAUGGUAUUGCUAUGGUCAAUUUAGAAAUAAAUUUGCAGUAUAUAUCAAAUAAUAUAAAAAGUUAUUUAACCCCACUUCUUACCAAUUAUUCUGAGGAAAUAUGUGCUGAGAGA